AUUGAACGCUAGCGGGAUGCUUUACACAUGCAAGUCGAACGAGUGGCGGACGGGUGAGUAAUGUAUGGGGACUGCCCGAUAGAGGGGGUUAACUACUGGAAACUGUAGCUAAUACCGCAUACUAUCGGAUAACCCAUAUGGGAUUAGCUAGUGGGUGAGGUAAUGGCUCACCUGGGCGACGAUCCCUAGCUGGUCUGAGAGGAUGAUCAGCCACACUGGAACUGAGACACGGCCCAGACGCCUACGGAGGCAGCAGUGGGGAAUAUUGGACAAUGGGCGCAAGCCUGAUGCAGCCAUGCCGCGUGUAUGAAGAAGGCCCUAGGGUUGUAAAGUACUUUCAGUCGGGAGGCGUUACCGACAGAAGAAGCACCGGCUAACUCCGUGCCAGCCGCCGCGGUAAUUC
rnacentral:rRNA from 1 species